rnacentral:rRNA from 1 species
AUAGGAGGCGAACCUGCUGAACUGAAACAUCUAAGUAGGCAGAGGAGAAGAAAACAAAAGUGAUUCCGCUAGUAGUGGCGAGCGAACGCGGAAUAGCCCAAACCAAUGUUGUUACGGCAAUAUUGGGGUUGUAGGACCACGAGAUUUCUUGCGGAUUGAAUUAGAAUAACCUGGAAAGGUUAACCACAGAGGGUGACAGUCCCGUAUAAGUAAGAGAAGAUAAGGAUAGUGGUAUCCUGAGUAGGUCGGGGCACGUGAAACCCUGAUUGAAACUGGCGGGACCAUCCGCUAAGGCUAAAUACUCCUGAGAGACCGAUAGUGAACCAGUACCGUGAGGGAAAGGUGAAAAGAACCGUGAAUAACGGAGUGAAAUAGAACCUGAAACCAUACGCCUACAAGCGGUCGGAGCCCAUUCGUUGGGUGACGGCGUGCCUUUUGCAUAAUGAGCCUACGAGUUACCGUUGCUGGCGAGGAUAAGUGAUUAAGUCAUGGAUCCGUAGCGAAAGCGAGUCUUAAUAGGGCGCUUUAGUCAGUAGUGGUAGACGCGAAACCGUGUGAUCUACCCAUGGGCAGGUUGAAGUUUAGGUAACACUAAAUGGAGGACCGAACCGUUUAACGCUGAAAAGUUUUCGGAUGACCUGUGGGUAGGGGUGAAAGGCCAAUCAAACUCGGAAAUAGCUCGUACUCCCCGAAAUGCAUUUAGGUGCAGCGAUGAUCAUAGUUACUUAGAGGUAGAGCUACUGAUUGGAUGCGGGGGCUUCACCGCCUACCAAUUCCUGACAAACUCCGAAUGCUAAUUAAUGAUAAUCAUCAGUGAGGGCAUGGGUGCUAAGGUCCAUGUCCGAGAGGGAAAGAACCCAGACCAUCAGCUAAGGUCCCCAAAUGUAUGCUAAGUUGAAAAAACGCGGUUUGAUUGCCCAGACAGCUAGGAUGUUGGCUUGGAAGCAGCCAUUCAUUUAAAGAGUGCGUAACAGCUCACUAGUCGAGCGAUCGAGCAUGGAUAAUAAUCGGGCAUAAGUAUACUACCGAAGCUAUGGAUUUACGUUUUAAACGUGAGUGGUAGGGGAGCAUUCUAUCGACGCUGAAGCCGUAUUGUGAGAUAUGGUGGAGUUUAUAGAAAAGAAAAUGUAGGCAUAAGUAACGAUAAGGGGUGCGAGAAACACCCCCGCCGUAAGACUAAGGUUUCCUGAGCUAUGCUAAUCAGCUUAGGGUUAGUCGGGACCUAAGGCACACCCGAAGGGGGACGUCGAUGGCCAACGGGUUAAUAUUCCCGUACUACUAAUAAUUGUGAUGGAGUGACACAGUGAUGAAAGCACCGCGAACUGACGGAAUAGUUCGUUGAAGCACGUACCUA